GAUGAACGCUGGCGGCGUGCCUAAUACAUGCAAGUCGAGCGAACAGACGAGGAGCUUGCUCCUUCGACGUUAGCGGCGGACGGGUGAGUAACACGUAGGUAACCUACCUAUAAGACUGGGAUAACUUCGGGAAACCGGAGCUAAUACCGGAUAAUAUUUCGAACCGCAUGGUUCGAUAGUGAAAGAUGGCUUUGCUAUCACUUAUAGAUGGACCUGCGCCGUAUUAGCUAGUUGGUAAGGUAACGGCUUACCAAGGCAACGAUACGUAGCCGACCUGAGAGGGUGAUCGGCCACACUGGAACUGAGACACGGUCCAGACUCCUACGGGAGGCAGCAGUAGGGAAUCUUCCGCAAUGGGCGAAAGCCUGACGGAGCAACGCCGCGUGAGUGAUGAAGGUCUUCGGAUCGUAAAACUCUGUUAUUAGGGAAGGACAAACGUGUAAGUAACUGUGCACGUCUUGACGGUACCUAAUCAGAAAGCCACGGCUAACUACGUG
rnacentral:rRNA from 1 species